CAUGACAACAUCUACGAAGUGUCAAUAUCAUGCUGCUGCUUCAAAGCCGAAAUGGUGAGUGGAUGUGAAGUGAAAUUGGAUUUGGCGGAUUAAGCAUACGAUAAGAAAUGUUGUUCCAAUUAUUACGUGUAGGCCAUGGAAGCCUGUUGCUAUGAAGAAUGUUGAGCCGUACACGCUGUCUGAAAUGGUAAAUGAGGUUUCUGUGUAUUCGGAGGCUUGUAAAACAGUAAAGUAAAUUCCUAAAAUAAUAGUAAUGAAAAGGGCUUGAAUUAUUGGGAUUCGGUUACCUUCUAUGAGGCUGUGAUGGGCUCAUGUAAUUGAUACUCCGGAGGCUAGAAGGACAGAGGUAUUGAGUAAUGGUACGUCUAGGGGGUUUAAUGGAGUGAUUCCAGUUGGUGGUCAGCAUCCCCCUAGUUCGGGAGUGGGGGCUAGGCUGGAAUGGAAUCACUCCAGUAA